AGCAGCCGCGGUAAUUCCAGCUCCAAUAGCGUAUAUUAAAGUUGUUGCAGUUAAAAGCUCGUAGUUGAAUUUCGGGAUCAGUACGCUGGUCGUGCCUUCGGUAUGUACUGGCGUUACUGGUUCCUACCUUCUGACGAACCGUCAUGUCAUUAAUUUGGUGUGGCGGGAAAUCAGGACUGUUACUUUGAAAAAUUAGAGUGUUUAAAGCAGGCUCGCGCUUGAAUACAUUAGACAUGGAAUAAUGAAAUAGGACGUUCGAUCCUAUUUUGUUGGUUUCUAGGAUUGACGUAAUGAUUAAUAGGGAUAGUUGGGGGCAUUAGUAUUCAAUUGUCAGAGGUGAAAUUCUUGGAUUUAUUGAAGACUAACUACUGCGAAAGCAUUUGCCAAGGAUGUUUUCAUUAAUCAAGAACGAAGUUAGGGGAUCGAAGACGAUCAGAUACCGUCGUAGCCUUAACCAUAAACUAUGCCGACUAGGGAU
rnacentral:rRNA from 1 species